rnacentral:rRNA from 1 species
UACGAAGGGGGCUAGCGUUGUUCGGAAUUACUGGGCGUAAAGCGUGCGCAGGCGGCUCAUGAAGGCUGUGGUGAAAGUCCGGGGCUCAACCUCGGAUCGGCCGUGGCGACUCGUGGGCUGGAGCACUGUAGAGGCGGGUGGAAUUCCGGGUGUAGCGGUGGAAUGCGUAGAGAUCCGGAAGAACACCAGUGGCGAAGGCGGCCCGCUGGGCAGUUGGCUGACGCUGAGGCGCGACAGCGUGGGGAGCAAACAGG